AAUAGCUCAGUAGGCUAAAGCGUUUUUACUUCAGGACUCUGGCAGGUCUCCAGGGGUGACUGGUUCGAAACCUGCUCCGGGCAAUGUUCUUUUCCUUUUUUAAAUUUUAUUCUUGAUUUUUUACUGGAGCUUUUACGAUCCAAUGUUUACAUUUAUUAAUAUAAAGCAUUUAAUGAAUAAGUUAAAAAAAUGCCAAAAUCUGUGAAAAGGCCCCUUUAAAUUCGAAAUGACAUGGUCAGCAAUGUAAAAAUGAUGCAGAUGAACACUACAUAAAUUGGCAUGUUAACAAGUUCACUUGAUACUUCACAUGUGCAUUGGCCUUGUACCAAUUUUAUGACUUGAUUUAGGUUUUAAGAUUGCAUUGUGAUAUUUUAUACUGCAUACAAAUUAUUAUGCCCCCUUCGAAGAAGAGGGGGUAUAUUGCUUUGCUCAUGUAGGUCUGUCGGUCCGUCGGUCUGUCGGUCCGUCCACCAGGUGGUUGUCAGACGAUAACUCAAGAACGCUUGGGCCUAGGAUCAUGAAACUUCAUAGGUACAUUGAUCAUGACUCGCAGAUGACCCCUAUUGAUUUUGAGGUCACUAGGUCAAAGGUCAAGGUCACGGUGACCCAAAAUAGUAAAAUGGUUUCCGGAUGAUAACUCAAGAACGCUUAGGCCUAGGAUCAUGAAACUUGAUUGGUAGAUUGAUCAUGACUCGCAGAUGACCCCUAUUGAUUUUCAGGUCACUAGGUCAAAGGUCAAGGUCACAGUGACCCGAAAUAGUAAAAUGGUUUCCGGAUGAUAACUCAAGAACGCUUAGGCCUAGGAUCAUGAAACUUGAUAGGUAGAUUGAUCAUGACUCGCAGAUGACCCCUAUUGAUUUUCAGGUCACUAGGUCAAAGGUCAAGGUCACGAUGACCUGAAAUAGUAAAAUGGUUUCCGGAUGAUAACUGAAGAACGCUUAUUCCUAGGAUCAUGAAACUUGAUAGGUAGAAUGAUCAUGACUCGCAGAUGACCCCUAUUGAUUUUCAGGUCACUAGGUCAAAGGUCAAGGUCACGGUGACCCGAAAUAGUAAAAUGGUGUCCGGAUGAUAACUCAAGAAUGCUUAUGGCUAGUAUCAUGAAACUUCAUAGGUACAUUGAUCAUGACUGGCAGAUGACCCCUAUUGAUUUUCCGGUCACUAGGUCAAAGGUCAAGGUCACAGUGACAAAAAACAUAUUCACACAAUGGCUCUCACUACAACAGAGAGCCUAUAUGGGGGGCAUGCAUGUUUUACAAACAGCCCUUGUGUUAAUGUUAUGUCUUGGAAUGAAAUUAAUGUUACUUGAUGUUAAUAAAGAAGUCAUUAUGA